rnacentral:lncRNA from 1 species
GCGCCCUCCAGCCAAUGCGCCCCGCCCGCCUUCAGCGCGGCCUCGGCGAGUGGCUGCCGGGCGGCGGGGCGGGGCGGGGCAGCGCCGGCCGCAGCACCUGGGGCGAGGGGCGUGAGGCGGCCGGGCCGGGUGCGUGAGGAGAGAUCGCCCGGUUCGCGCUUCUCCUCGGCUCCCGCCAAACUCCCUCUCUGUGCCGCGGGGUACAAUGGCAUCAGUCGUCUCCUCACGCCUGACUGUAAGGCAGCCUCCAGAAGCACCAUGUGGUACCUCGUUCAGUUGCAUACAAGUAAAACCUUGCUCAGUCCUGGGGACCAGACAGAUCCUAUGUCUCCUUCACCUGUACCAGGUCAGCUAAAGAAAGCAGAAGUUUUCCUGUUCUGUCUGUUUGAGCAUCUCAGUCCUAAUCUGAAG